rnacentral:rRNA from 1 species
UGGGGAAUCUUGGACAAUGGGGGCAACCCUGAUCCAGCCAUGCCGCGUGAGUGAUGAAGGCCUUAGGGUCGUAAAGCUCUUUCGCCUGUGAAGAUAAUGACGGUAGCAGGUAAAGAAACCCCGGCUAACUCCGUGCCAGCAGCCGCGGUAAUACGGAGGGGGUUAGCGUUGUUCGGAAUUACUGGGCGUAAAGGGCGCGUAGGCGGUCUGUUGCGUCAGGUGUGAAAGCCCCGGGCUCAACCUGGGAGGUGCACUUGAUACGGGCAGGCUAGAAUCCGGGAGAGGAUGGUUGAAUUCCCAGUGUAGAGGUGAAAUUCGUAGAUAUUGGGAAGAACACCGAUGGCGAAGGCAGCCAUCUGGACCGGUAUUGACGCUGAGGCGCGAAAGCGUGGGGAGCAAACAGGAUUAGAUACCCCCGUAGUCC